AUUAUUAGUAUGAUUAUUUACAUGUGCGAAGAUAUAGACAUGAAUUACCUAAUUAAUCGAAUUAAAAAAAAUCAAAUAAUCAACUUAAUAAUUAAAAUAAUUAAUUAAUUAAUUAAGAUCUAAUUAACUAAUUAAAUAAAAAUUUAAUCAAUUAACUAAAUACUAAAUUAAAUAAUCAAGAAAAUAAUAAUAAAUAAUAAUAAAUAACACAAUGGGAGGGGGUGCAUGGAGUAAAUGGGGUGCAAACAUCAAAAUCCAAUUGG
rnacentral:lncRNA from 1 species